CGGGGAGUGGCGCAGACCGGAAGCGCGCAGCGUUUGGGACGCUGAAGUCGGAGGUUCAAGUCCUCUCUCCCCGA
rnacentral:tRNA from 1 species